rnacentral:rRNA from 1 species
UAGAUGUCUCGAAAGAGAACCGUAACACAGGUGCUGCAUGGCUGUCGUCAGCUCGUGUCGUGAGAUGUUGGGUUAAGUCCCGCAACGAGCGCAACCCUUGUCAUUAGUUGCUACAUUUAGUUGGGCACUCUAAUGAGACUGCCGGUGACAAACCGGAGGAAGGUGGGGAUGACGUCAAGUCCUCAUGGCCCUUAUAGGUGGGGCUACACACGUCAUACAAUGGCUGGUACAAAGGGUUGCCAACCCGCGAGGGGGAGCUAAUCCCAUAAAACCAGUCGUAGUCCGGAUCGCAGUCUGCAACUCGACUGCGUGAAGUCGGAAUCGCUAGUAAUCGUGGAUCAGAAUGUCACGGUGAAUACGUUCCCGGGACUUGUACACACCCCGUGA